CCUACGGGUGGCUGCAGUAAGGAAUAUUGGUCAAUGGACGAAAGUCUGAACCAGCCAUGCCGCGUGGAGGAUGAAGGUCCUCUGGAUUGUAAACUUCUUUUAUAUGGGACGAAAAAAGGGUUUUCUAACUCGUCUGACGGUACCAUAUGAAUAAGCACCGGCUAACUCCGUGCCAGCAGCCGCGGUAAUACGGAGGGUGCAAGCGUUAUCCGGAUUCACUGGGUUUAAAGGGUGCGUAGGUGGGUUGGUAAGUCAGUGGUGAAAUCCCCGAGCUUAACUUGGGAACUGCCAUUGAUACUAUCAGUCUUGAAUACCGUGGAGGUCAGCGGAAUAUGUCAUGUAGCGGUGAAAUGCUUAGAUAUGACAUAGAACACCAAUUGCGAAGGCAGCUGGCUACCCGAAUAUUGACACUGAGGCACGAAAGCGUGGGGAUCAAACAGGAUUAGAUACCCUAGUAGUC
rnacentral:rRNA from 1 species